CGAGGAAUAUUGCACACUGGACGCAAGUCUGAUGCAGUAACGCCGCGUGGGGGAAGAAGACCUUCGGGUUGUAAACCUCUUUUGAUAGAGACGAGUGAGGACGGUAUUUAUCGAAUAAGUCUCGGCUAACUACGUGCCAGCAGCCGCGGUAAGACGUAGGAGGCGAGCGUUAUCCGGAUUCACUGGGCGUAAAGCGCAUGUAGGCGGUUGGGUAAGUCCGCUGUUAAAGCCCCCGGCUCAACUGGGGGAGGUCAGUGGAGACUACCGGACUUGAGGGCAAUAGAGGCACAUGGAACUCCCGGUGUAGCGGUGGAAUGCGUAGAGAUCGGGAAGAACACCCGUGGCGAAGGCGAUGUGCUGGGUUGCCCCUGACGCUGAGAUGCGAAAGUGUGGGGAGCAAACGGG
rnacentral:rRNA from 1 species